GGUCACCUGACUUGCUCACCCAGCCACAGAGAGAGAAGCUGGACAAGGGAGAGCUGAAGAGCCAGACCCACCCCUAGAAGACACUUGCAGCAAGGAGGCAAGAGGAGUCAGUCCACAAAAGAAAUCCAAGUUGCGGGAAAAGGUCAACGUUUCCAUCUCCUCACCUCUCCGGAAGUACGUUUGUCACGGAUGCCGUGAUGCACCUGCCUGACCCCCCUUCAGAACCAAGGUGCUCAUUCCUGCCACUCAAUGCUCCUGGAUCACAGCUGAGUCUCUUCCCAGGAAUCGUCCUAGGCCAAAGGGAGCUGCCUUACUCAAGUAAGCAGACCCAGGAACCAACAUCAGCUGCAAGGUGGUGGUGUCCUGCCUCUUUUGUCACACGUGAUGCCAGCAGUGGGAAGAGAACUUUUUCAGUAGCAAAGGUGAUGAACUUGUGAGAUUUUCAAACCUGCAGACGUGACUUGAAUGGCUUCCCUUUGGGUAAUGGACACUGGCUAGAGACCUAGAAAGGGAUCGGCCACAGGGUGAACUACUUGAGAGAACCAGCAUGGUUUCCAGCACAUGGUGUCGAGCAAAUGGGGAGCAAAGAACUCGUGCUUAGGUUCUGCAGGGGAUGGCCAGUGGGACACAUUACUACGGCUUUCAGUCUGCACGGUGCCGGCAUCGGGCAUCGACAUCGCUGUUGUGAUGAAGACUUACCCUUCUCCAGCGCUUAUCACCCUGAAAGGAUCGCAGCUUGGUAAAGCAGUCGCAGAAGGACACACGCUCCCUGCUUCAGGCUCCGGUUCCCCAGCACUCCAUCCCCCGUAGUCACAGGGGGUGGAGGAAGCGUCUGUGGGCUCAAUACAGUGGACCAAGUGGUUGGGCUUCAUAAAGGCCCCGCCCACAGACACCUGGAGCUAACAGACACUCACAGGCACGAGGUUCCAGCCAAAAGGGAUGGAAAAAUUCACAGACUCUCCAUGUGGCUUCUGGAUGGAAUAGAAGACUCCAAAAUGGACUUAGAACUCACAGCGGGAGCUGCAAGUCAGGGGCCAUAUGCUCAAGCCACAGAGUUGCCUGGGACUGCAGAGAUCAGACUCGCAGAGGCUGAAACUGGAAAUCUUUAGGUUUUGAUUUAAAGGUUUCCAUUGAUGGGACACCUACUGAGUGCCAGGCACCGUGCUAGCAGCUUUGCGUCUAUUGUAUCUAAUCUUUCCAGCCACCCUACAGAGUAGGUGUUAUUAUCCUCAUUUUAGAAGUCAGGAAGCAGAGGCAAAGGCUACGAUUUCCCUUUUCAUGGUUCUCGGUCUUUACUAAGUUAAUGCAGCAUGAUCAGAGGGUCCUAGUUUUACAAGGUAUCAGAACUGGAAGGGAUGUUAGAGGUCAUGUCUACCAUCUGAGGAUAACGAUGAAAAAAGAUCCAAAGUGAGAAAAGUAAAUUAUUUUGCUCAAGGACACACAGCCGAGCUGGCACCUCCUCCCAGGCCUCUGGGCUUGCCGUGUGGACCUGUCUUUUCUUCUCCGUGUAACAGCAGGGGAACACAGAGAUGUCAUUGCCGUCUGGGAGGAAUGGAACAAAUGUCAAGGCCUGUCUGUCUCUAAGCAGUGAUCACCACAGACAUGGCCGUUUUCAAACCGAUUCUCACUUGAUCUGCUCAACGUUCCUUAAAAAGGAGGGAAGGGGAAGCUUUGCAGUUUUGGAAGAUGAAGCAACUUGCAGAUGAUGAAAAGGGACAUCCGUGUCUAUCAAAUGUUUUAAGCCCCCCAGGGGAAAGAUGCAGGAGGAGGGUGAACUGUUUUGGUAUUUUCUUAUUUCCAUCAUCUUGUGAUCUUAGGUGUCACACACUGGGAAAUCUUCCCUUCAAGACAGUAAUGAGUUGCUUUUUUUCACUCCUUGGUUUUCUCCAAACUGCUUGGGGUUGCAGUGGAAAGCUCUUCUAGAAAUGUCCCUGUUUCAUCUCACCACGUCUCUAGGGAGUGUAUAGUCUACAUUCACAGCCAUAACAUAAACCCCAGUCUCUUUGAGCCACACGCAGGAUUGCCCAGAUGCGGGCAUCUGGCAACUCAGAAAUGGUUCUACGUGCUGGGGUCUGGCUGCAGCACCACAUGAAGGAUGGUUAAGAAGCAUUAGGGCUGAAAGGGAUCUUGGAGGCUAUUUCAAACUCUUAUUUUCUGAAUCACAUGGUACCUGUUUUUCAUUAAACAGUGGCUUUCAGAAAUUCUCAGGGAUUGAACCUGUUAGUAUAGUGACGGUCAGGGUCAUUUGCAAAGGCACAGAAUAAGCAGUUUAGAUGCUCGGUUCUACUUUUCACUUUGAAUGUUCUUUAUGAGCCAGUUUUAUUUACCUGUUAAAUCAAUAAAAUACUGGAUGAACACAUGUUUUUAAAUGGAAUGAAAUAUAAAAUCCACACAAGUCUUAGUCAUGGUCCCUUCACUUCAGUCACUGGCUGACUUGCUGGUCCCUGAAAUUACCUCAUGACAAUGCCCACUAGAAAUAAGACUAAUAAUUUCUUCAAUUUGCUAUCAGUGCUUUACACUCUUAUCACAAAGGAUUGGAAGCUUUGAAGUUAAACUUUCAGGUCUACUUUCCCGCCUAACCUUCAAAAGCACCCUGCAAAGUAGAUGGGAAAGGGAUCUUUAUCCCCCAUUUUGCAGAUGAGCCAACUGAGGCACAGCCAGGUGAAAUAAUCAGACCAAGCUCACGCAGUGUGUUAGACACAGGAAUAAUGGGUCUCCUGAAUUCCGAUCAAGAAUUCGUUCUUCUGUAUUAUAUAGGGUAAGUGCUUAACGCUCCCAGAUUUGGAGGAUAUGUUUGGCCACUAAAGCUUUCUCCCAAGAUAGGAAAAACACCUGGCUGCCGCUUGCCCCACCACAGUAAUGGCCCCAUGCCUCAUGUGCACUCAAGCUUCCCUGCCUUGAUUCAUUCUGGUCCCUCUGAUGUGAAUGCCCUCUCCUCCCCUUCUCCAAAUGACCAGCUCCUCCUAAUCCAGUUUCAGGACAACUCAAAUCAUACCUCCUCUCCACGCGUUCCCUGAUUAAAUUCCUUUUCUAUGUCUUUGCAUGCCUUUGCUACAGCACGACAAUGGGCACCAAGCAGUAGCCAGGCAUUUCUUACGGAGUCACAGAAGGAAGAGAAGCCUGUGACCAACUAGAAGGCCAGCUUGUUGAGAUCUGGGAGCAGGUCUUUGUUUUUGUAUUUUCAUCACUUAACACAGUGCCUGGAAUAUAGUAGAUAUUUGACCUAAAGUUGUCCAGCACCUGAAAAAUAGGCUGCUCCUAAAAAGAAACAAGGUGACAGGCAAGGAGUGAUGUAGUAAAAGUGGAAACCAGGAUCUCAGCCUUCAGAUUUCAAGGUGGAUUUCUCGGGGCUAUGGAUAAGUUCCUGCAGUGCUGUGCAUCUGAGAUGGUUAUGAACCCUUUGGAGGCUGAGGGACUUGGAACCCCUUGUGAGAUGGAUCUACCAGCAGUUCCUGUUCUGAGGGAGUGAGAGCCCACUAACGCCUUGAGGGCUGAAUGCUGGUGUGCCAUGUACUGUUGCCUUAGACCAGAUUUUUCCUUCUAAGUGUCAAAAACAACUUUAGAUGGAGAAAAUGAACUGAGUGGGGUGAAAAAACCUAUGAGUCCCAGAAUAACCUCCAGCUUGGUAAUGAUUUAUCCUAUUUCAUUGUUAAUUUUGCAAUUAAGCAAGAGUACUUUAUAUGCCUGAAUAACCCAUGGACCGUAUCUUAAUCUAAUUAAUGUGUCUGUAACAGAAGACUGAUUCAGUGUUCAACUAUUAGGAUAACAAAUGAUGCAAAGCCCAAGUUUUCUCUCUCCUUUCUCUCUCCUCCCCUCACAAAACCCGCUGACACGAAAGGUCAACUGCCUGAAAGCCUGUUGUUUUGAUGACUGCUGUGAGAUUCUAUUGGUUAAAAAUGUGAGAAAACUGGCUACCUCCCCUCCCCGCCACUUCAAACCAACUGUAUGUAUGUGUGACAGUGUGUGUGUAAGUUUGGAUGAAAAAAAAAUUGUGGUUAAUUCUUCUUGUUGUAUACUUCCUGCCACUGACAUUUGUUGCUGCUGCUGUGUAAUGACGUUGAGGUUGGGUAGGAAAAUCAGAUGCAAAUGACCUAUUUAUUUAUUCCCCAAUUAUGACUACCCUUCUCAACUCCUGUUCUUGGAAAACCUGGAAAGCAGAGAAAGGGGUUCAGGAAAGCCAGCUGAACAUGGCAUUGCCCUGAAGCAACCCCUAGAACUUUAGGUCAUCCUAGUUGAUAAGAAAUUUGAAAAAAUAUGAUUCUGUUUAAUAAAAUGGUAUAUAUUUAAAAAAAUUAUAAGUCAUGAAUAAUGGCUUUUUAAUAAAGACUUUUGUGGUUUAGGCCAAGGACCAGGAUUUACAUCUCCCUGGGCUCAAUUCAUCAGCUUUUACAGGGACUUCAGCAAUAUUUUACCACC